GACAACUGCAGAGUCAUGCUGCCAUAAUUACAUUACAAUCUAGUCUCCUGGAAGUAGUCUACAAAAAGAGAAGAGUCUGGAAGAAGUGCUCUACUCUGGAGAAAGUAGGUGCCAAAAAACACAGGUGGCUGAUACCAUGGCAGACAUAACCGUUCAACCCUUUACAGUAUCUUUGGUUUAACUGAUUCUGGAUUUUAAUGAAGAGCUGUAGCACUUAUUAUUUCUAUUGAAAACCCUCAUGGAUAUUGGAAAGCUCAAGCAUGCAGAGGGAAAGCUGUAGACUUUACUGCUUGGAAGACAUCCUUUGCCAUGUCAUGGCAUCACCUGACUAUUACAAAAAUGUCUACAAUAAAUAAUAUUCUUCCUUCAUGUUCAUCCAUUGUAAACCGGGGAAUAGGAUGUUCAGAUAUUUGCUAAAUGAUACACUCACACGCGUCUAUACUGCAUCUUUUCUUACAUAUUUUUCUACAGAUUCUAUCCCCUUAGUUUUAUAGCCAUUUUAAUUUUGUAGAAGUCUACCAGACUCCUGUCUUCUCUUUUAAUGCUUCCCAGCUUUCACUGUAAUUCUCAGUUUUGCAAAGAAAAAUUCCUAAAUGCUUGUUACAUGACCUAUGGACCCAGAUGAAGUUCCCAGCUCCCACUGCGCAAUCACUAAACCAUUGCUCAACCCAAGUCUCAGUAACAUCACUGGUUCUUCUGUGCAUUUCAUAUAACAGAGUUCUGGAAUUUGCUCCAUAGGCCAUGAUAUCCUGUUCAGUUCCAAGCAAAACUCAAAGAAUUUACAUGGGUUCAUUUGCAGUAUGUUGUAUUUUUAACUGAAGUAAAUCCUUUCCCAUUAGUUAAUGAAGCAACUGAAGACAUAUAGAAAGGGCAGGCAAUUUGUCAUACAUCUUCCAGCACGGAUGACUGUUUCAUUACAAAAAGUUUAUGGAAAAGAGAUGAGCUCGUAAGACAAAAAAGAAUAAAAGCGAGAGAGAUAUGACUGUUUAAAACAGGCAGGACCUUAAAAUAGUCUUGGUUCUCUCUGAAGGACCAUAUGGAACACUUUUCCAAAAGCAUAAAAAGUGCACACACCUGCCCCCACACACAGAGGGUGUCCUUAAGCUCCCCCUAGAGUUAUAAAUUAUUAGUGUAUUUGCCAUGUUAGUUCUGGUAAAUGAGUAGCUCUAACACCAAACAAUCCUGAAUGUCCUACAUUACUAACGAUGCCUCUGAAGACUGAGAACCUGUACCACACCUGCUUUUGUUCCAUAGCUCUGUAGCUCUUAAUUGUCUUCUCCCCCUCAAAGUUGUGUAAGGACAGUGGUGGCUCCUGACAGCAUAGCUGAUAUGUUAUCAGCCUGUGUGACACAACAGAUAAACGUUUCUUCUUUCAGAGCGUGUUCAUGUCCUUUCUAGGUCUUCUGAAUAAAACUCAGAUGUCCUGAAAUAAAUUCUUUUAAAUUCAAAAUAAACUUUAAUUUAAGAACACUGUCUCCAAGUAAAAUUUAUAUACAUUGUAUUUAUAAUUUUGCUGCUGACAAGGUAACAUUUACAUGUAGUAACUUGCAUUACUCACACUUAAAUAGGAUCCACUCAGCAUUAGACUGAAACCAGUGCCAGAGCA